rnacentral:rRNA from 1 species
AGCAGCCGCCACGGUAAUACAGAGGUCUCAAGCGUUGUUCGGAUUCAUUGGGCGUAAAGGGUGCGUAGGUGGUCAUGUAAGUCUAAUGUGAAAUCUCGGGGCUUAACCCCGAAAUUGCAUCGGAUACUGCGUGACUAGAGGAUUGUAGAGGAGAUUGGAAUUCACGGUGUAGCAGCGAAAUGCGUAGAUAUCGUGAGGAAGACCAGUUGCGAAGGCGAAUCUCUGGGCAAUUCCUGACACUGAGGCACGAAGGCCAGGGGAGCAAACGGGAUUAGAGACCCGCGUAGUCCCUGUCUCUUAUAC